rnacentral:rRNA from 1 species
GGCCGCGGGAAGUGAUGUGAGGCCUAAGACAUGCAAGUCGAACGAGAUUAUAGGGUAAGCUUGCUUACCUUAUAUGACAGUGGCGCACGGGUGCGUAACGCGUAUGCAACCUACCUUUAUCAGGGGGAUAGCCUCUCGAAAGAGAGGUUAAUACGGCAUAAAAACACAGUACGGCAUCGUACAAUGUUCAAACAUUUAUGGGAUAAAGAUGGGCAUGCGUGACAUUAGCUAGUUGGUGAGGUAACGGCUCACCAAGGCAACGAUGUCUAGGGGAUCUGAGAGGAUGACCCCCCACACUGGUACUGAGACACGGACCAGACUCCUACGGGAGGCAGCAGUAAGGAAUAUUGGUCAAUGGACGCAAGUC